rnacentral:rRNA from 1 species
AGAGUUUGAUCCUGGCUCAGAUUGAACGCUGGCGGCAGGCCUAACACAUGCAAGUCGAGCGGUUGAAAGGAGCUUGCUCCUGGAUUCAGCGGCGGACGGGUGAGUAAUGCCUAGGAAUCUGCCUGGUAGUGGGGGACAACGUUUCGAAAGGAACGCUAAUACCGCAUACGUCCUACGGGAGAAAGCAGGGGACCUUCGGGCCUUGCGCUAUCAGAUGAGCCUAGGUCGGAUUAGCUAGUUGGUGAGGUAAUGGCUCACCAAGGCGACGAUCCGUAACUGGUCUGAGAGGAUGAUCAGUCACACUGGAACUGAGACACGGUCCAGACUCCUACGGGAGGCAGCAGUGGGGAAUAUUGGACAAUGGGCGAAAGCCUGAUCCAGCUAUGCCGCGUGUGUGAAGAAGGUCUUCGGAUUGUAAAGCACUUUAAGUUGGGAGGAAGGGUUGUAGAUUAAUACUCUGCAAUUUUGACGUUACCGACAGAAUAAGCACCGGCUAACUCUGUGCCAGCAGCCGCGGUAAUACAGAGGGUGCAAGCGUUAAUCGGAAUUACUGGGCGUAAAGCGCGCGUAGGUGGUUUGUUAAGUUGGAUGUGAAAUCCCGGGCU